UAAGGAGAAGGGGGGAGCUUUUUAAGCUGCCGAUUGCUUUAUUAUUGCUGAAAGAAAUAAAGGGAAAAUCACAAAAGGAAAGGAGUGAGGAGAAUUAAGGAUCUAAUAACAGUGCGAGCUUGCUGCCCAGGUUGUGUCUCUUGCUGUGCUGGAAUCGUUUUUCUUUGUCGACAGCCUUGCACUCAGCUAUUUUUAGGGUCUCUUUAAUAAUUGAGCUGUAGCAAUUGUACUCAGCAACUGGAACAGACAAGGAAAACAGCAGCUCAAAGAAAACAGUGUGGUAGCCAUGACUUAAUUCAGAUCGCGUCACCGAGCACACCUUUCUUUCAGCACUAUCAGGAGUGGAGGACUGCCAGACUAACUAACUCCAGGUUCAGUGAAAGAUACUGCCUCAAGGGAAUAUCAUGGAGAGUUGUGGAGGAAGACAUCAGCUCUCUCUAGCCUCUUCCUAGCAGUGCUCCACAUACAAGGAGAAAGAAUGGGAAAUGCAGUUCACAGGGAGGAACUGGACCUGUGGACAUGCAUAGAUCUGACUGACUAUGGAAGCACAAGCAAGAAAAUCACCUUUGACUGACC